rnacentral:lncRNA from 1 species
GGGGUCGUCUGUGCUGCUGGAAGGACGUUCGCAAGGACUCCAGCCAUGUGUGCAGUGUCCAGGGAACACCUAUACUCCGUAUGUCAAUGGUCACAUCCACAUAUCCAUGCUCAGCACUGUGGUACAUGGCCUCCUUCAGGGCUUUCAGUUUGGCCUUGCUGUUGCGGCUGGCACAAAGCGGAGCUGCUGCAGAGUCAGGUAAGUCUGUCCCCUCGGCCAGUAUCUCCUCCAGUGACAGGAUAUCACUCUUCUCCUUCUCUGGCUGAGCAAGUAGCUUACGGAAGACAUUCCUGUGUCCAUGCGCAGCAGCCUGACUGAAAGAGUUCAUGUCACCUUGUGGAGUCAUGGAAAUGCCAUUCCUGUACAUUGUUCC